CUCCUCCCCUGGAGAUGUCACCGAGAUGUCUUGCGGCGGUGAUGCACAAUGAAGAGAUGGUGGGGCCUUGUGGCGUGCAUGAGGCGGAGGCUCCCCUGGCAGUGCGGUGUCCUUGGCUAGAGUAGGGCGACCUUGCCAGCAACCUUCAUCUCUGACACGUCCUGAGAUGCAAAAUGAGCGGUACAAGUUUGGGGUCAAAUGCAUUGUUUACUAAAAGGAAAGCUUUAUGAUUUUGCAAUCUGCUUUCCUAAAAUGUAAAGGUUCGUUUGUUAAUUUGUUCAACCUUUUGAGCCUUUGAUUUUAGCCUGUAGCUCCUGGUGAAGGAAGAAAUAACUGAUGGAAUAUUAGAAGGUUGCUGCAGAUCGGUACUGAAAUCCAGGCUGCCCGGUUUUCUUCUUGGACUUGCACAAGCUCCCUCUGACGAAAGCAGUUAGAUACUUGAACAAGAGAAGCUAUUUUGGCAUCCCCUGAUUACUACUUACACUCCUGUACUAGACAAGGAUGAGGUGAAGGUCAAAAUAUGUGUGAACCGGGGGAUGACUCUUCUUCUGAUGAUGAGAACAUGCUAGAUCGAGAUGCUCGGAUGACGAGAUCAUUACACUUGCAAGAGAUGAGAGC